rnacentral:misc_RNA from 1 species
CAACCCUCAAGCCCCCUGCGGUUUGGUGUUGGGGACCGGCGAUGGUGCUGCUCCGGCAAGCGCGCGCCGCCCCCGAAAUGAAUUGGCGGUCUCGUCGCGGCCUCCUCUGCGUAGUAGCACAACCUCGCAACAGGAGCGCGGCGCGGCCACUGCCGUAAAACGCCCCAACUUCUCAAG